CUGUGCUUUUAGCUUUUAGCCCUCUCGUAGAAGAGUAUUUUAGUGAACUGUAGCUUAGUGUUUUUUCAAGAUCCACUGGUCAUCUUUAAGAGCUCUCUCUUACUGACCUGCCACAUUUACCUCUCCAUCUCAGCACUGAAAACUGUCCAAAACAUUACAAAGAAGAGUAUUUAUCAGAUUUAGUUUCGAAGUGUAUCUUUCACAAUUUGCAAAAUAUGUAUUUAUUCACAGUUUGCCAGAUUCCGCCUGAAGCCUUUUAUAUGUGAACAUUAACCCGAUUCUAGUGUGGGUUGGAUAUGAGGACAUACAGCCGUAGACAGCGACAGUGAGGCGAUGUUCACAACAUGGUGGCUAUCUUCAUGUGAAAACCAUUAGUGAAAUCUUUCCUCCACCUCCCCUCACUCUUGCUUGUGGCAUGAGUAAGGGAACUCAUCCCC